GCUAUGCUCUUCUAAUGGUUAGGAAAUUAGUUUGUGGCACUGACGAUCGAGGUUCGAUUCCUCGACGUGGCA
rnacentral:tRNA from 1 species